AGCGCGGGGUGGAGGGGACGGCGGAGGCUCCCGGCUAUGGGAGGAGCGGCGGCGCGGGGUACCGGAAGUUGCCGUACCCCCGAGGCCUGGGCAGGUUGGCAGGGAGGAGGCCUACUCCUCGUAUCUUGCCAAGGCGUCAGCCAUGCCCUCCUCGUCCUCGCACAUCGGGGUUGCUGGUGCUUCUGCGUUAGCCUGCCCUCUCGGCGUUGGUCGAUGCCAGCGUGGGGAGGAGCGACGGCUACGGCGUUGGACAUGACCAGCGAGGGGAGGAGCGGUAGCGACGAUUUUUGGGUUUAGGCUACCAUAUCCUGUAAGAUCAUAUCACCAUCAAAAUGCAUUCAUAUUCAACAGUUUGAGCUAUGUGAAAUUCCUCCCUGAUCAGCAUGAUACGGCAGAAGUUGUGCCAAUUAUGAGAUGAUCUUCUUAUGAGGUUGAUUACAAACAUCACUCUACUAAUUUUAUGACUCCUAAAAUUGUGAAAAAAUCUUUUAGUUUCACUCAAGCUCUCUUCCACGGUUUAAGUAUGUCCUCUCUAAUGCCUUGAGCUUUGGCAGGGAAUGGAGAUCCUUUUAAGGUUCAGAUUGUUGGACAUUCCUCUGUGAAAUCUGUUAUGCGAAUGGAUCUGAAUGGAAUGGUCUUGAGCUUAGCGAGCGCCUAGAUGUCGAUGUAUGACCAAGGGAAGGAAGGCAGAAGAACAGGGGUAAGAAGAGAGCGAGAAGAGGAAAAGAGACAUUGUGCCUAACUGACGUGAUGUGCCGAGGCCGGAGCGGUGGCACACGGUUGAAAGUCGAGAAACAUGUGUGUACAUGCUUGUGGUAGAAAUUCCGAAUUGUACCACAUCAAGCCUGGGUGUGUAUCACCGGAAGGAUUGGUCCUCCUCUUAAAUCAAGAGGAUGUAGAUGAAAUGGUGAGAGCCCAUCAAGAUACAAAAAAGUGUGAUUUGUACAUUGUGGCAAAUCAUCAUUUUCGAGGUGAUGGUUACGAUGAGAGUGACGAGGAUGGUGAUGAUGGGUCGAAUGAUGAAGCCCCUUUUGGUGCCUACCUCGAUGUUGGUCAGAGUGGAAAGGACGAAGAUAGAUCAUCGCCAUGAACAAAUAUUAUGUGUGCUUUUCAUGUAAAAUGAUGAAACUCCUUUUGGGUUGAAUUAUAGUGUGCUUACCAUUAACGAAUACCGGUUGUCGUUGA